GCCUGGACGGUUCAGUGGGUUAAGCGUCUGACUUCGGCUCAGGUCAUGAUCUCACAGUUCGUGGGUUCGAGCCCCACGUCGGGCU
rnacentral:tRNA from 1 species